GGCUUAGCUGUCUCCUUUUUCUAGCCAAUGAAAUUGAUCUUUCCGUGCAGAAGCGGGAAUAACAACAUAAGACGAGAAGACCCUAUGGAGCUUUAGACACUAAGACAGAUCACGUCAAACACCCCAGCUUAAUGGGCCGAACUAAGUGAGCCCUGUCCUAAUGUCUUUGGUUGGGGCGACCCUGGGGAGACAAAUAACCCCCAUGUGGAGUGGAAACACCAUAUUUCCAGAACUAAGAGCUAACCGCUCUAAGGAGCAGAAUUUCUGACCAUUUUAGAUCCGGCUACUGCCGAUCAGCGGACCGAGUUA
rnacentral:rRNA from 1 species